rnacentral:rRNA from 1 species
UACGGGGGGGUGCGAGCGUUGUCCGGAAUCACUGGGCGUAAAGGGCGCGUAGGUGGUUUGAUAAGGGUGUGGUGAAAGCCCGGGGCUCAACCCCGGGUCUGCCGUGCCGACUGUCAAACUCGAGGGCUGUAGAGGCAGACGGAAUUCCGGGUGUAGCGGUGGAAUGCGUAGAGAUCCGGAGGAAGACCGGUGGCGAAGGCGGUCUGCUGGGCAGUUUCUGACACUGAUGCGCGACAGCGUGGGGAGCAAACAGG